GAUGAACGCUAGCUACAGGCUUAACACAUGCAAGUCGAGGGGCAGCAUGGUCUUAGCUUGCUAAGGCCGAUGGCGACCGGCGCACGGGUGAGUAACACGUAUCCAACCUGCCGUCUACUCUUGGACAGCCUUCUGAAAGGAAGAUUAAUACAAGAUGGCAUCAUGAGUCCGCAUGUUCACAUGAUUAAAGGUAUUCCGGUAGACGAUGGGGAUGCGUUCCAUUAGAUAGUAGGCGGGGUAACGGCCCACCUAGUCUUCGAUGGAUAGGGGUUCUGAGAGGAAGGUCCCCCACAUUGGAACUGAGACACGGUCCAAACUCCUACGGGAGGCAGCAGUGAGGAAUAUUGGUCAAUGGGCGAGAGCCUGAACCAGCCAAGUAGCGUGAAGGAUGACUGCCCUAUGGGUUGUAAACUUCUUUUAUAAAGGAAUAAAGUCGGGUAUGGAUACCCGUUUGCAUGUACUUUAUGAAUAAGGAUCGGCUAACUCCGUGCCAGCAGCCGCGGUAAUACGGAGGAUCCGAGCGUUAUCCGGAUUUAUUGGGUUUAAAGGGAGCGUAGAUGGAUGUUUAAGUCAGUUGUGAAAGUUUGCGGCUCAACCGUAAAAUUGCAGUUGAUACUGGAUAUCUUGAGUGCAGUUGAGGCAGGCGGAAUUCGUGGUGUAGCGGUGAAAUGCUUAGAUAUCGCGAAGAACUCCGAUUGCGAAGGCAGCCUGCUAAGCUGCAACUGACAUUGAGGCUCGAAAGUGUGGGUAUCAAACAGGAUUAGAUACCCUGGUAGUCCACACGGUAAACGAUGAAUACUCGCUGUUUGCGAUAUACUGCAAGCGGCCAAGCGAAAGCGUUAAGUAUUCCACCUGGGGAGUACGCCGGCAACGGUGAAACUCAAAGGAAUUGACGGGGGCCCGCACAAGCGGAGGAACAUGUGGUUUAAUUCGAUGAUACGCGAGGAACCUUACCCGGGCUUAAAUUGCAGAUGAAUUACGGUGAAAGCCGUAAGCCGCAAGGCAUCUGUGAAGGUGCUGCAUGGUUGUCGUCAGCUCGUGCCGUGAGGUGUCGGCUUAAGUGCCAUAACGAGCGCAACCCUUGUUGUCAGUUACUAACAGGUUCCGCUGAGGACUCUGACAAGACUGCCAUCGUAAGAUGUGAGGAAGGUGGGGAUGACGUCAAAUCAGCACGGCCCUUACGUCCGGGGCUACACACGUGUUACAAUGGGGGGUACAGAGGGCCGCUACCACGCGAGUGGAUGCCAAUCCCCAAAACCUCUCUCAGUUCGGACUGGAGUCUGCAACCCGACUCCACGAAGCUGGAUUCGCUAGUAAUCGCGCAUCAGCCACGGCGCGGUGAAUACGUUCCCGGGCCU
rnacentral:rRNA from 1 species